UCUCUGGUAGUAUAUCGGAUAGUACACCCGCCUGUCAUGUACUGCUUAUGUCAGCAGCAUAACGCGGGAGAGCGGGGUUCGACUCCCCGCCAGAGAG